GAUGAACGCUGACAGAAUGCUUAACACAUGCAAGUCCACUUGAAUUUGGGUUUUUAACUUCGGUUUGGGUGGCGGACGGGUGAGUAACGCGUAAAGAACUUGCCUCACAGCUAGGGACAACAUUUGGAAACGAAUGCUAAUACCUAAUAUUAUGAUAAUAGGGCAUCCUAUAAUUAUGAAAGCUAUAAGCGCUGUGAGAGAGCUUUGCGUCCCAUUAGCUAGUUGGAGAGGUAACGGCUCACCAAGGCGAUGAUGGGUAGCCGGCCUGAGAGGGUGAUCGGCCACAAGGGGACUGAGACACGGCCAUUACUCCUACGGGAGGCAGCAGUGGGGAAUAUUGGACAAUGGACCGAGAGUCUGAUCCAGCAAUUCUGUGUGCACGAUGAAGUUUUUCGGAAUGUAAAGUGCUUUCAGUUGGGAAGAAACAAAUGACGGUACCAACAGAAGAAGGGACGGCUAAAUACGU
rnacentral:rRNA from 1 species